rnacentral:rRNA from 1 species
CCAGACUCCUACGGGAGGCAGCAGUGGGGGAUAUUGCACAAUGGGGGAAACCCUGAUGCAGCGACGCCGCGUGAGUGAAGAAGUAUUUCGGUACGUAAAGCUCUAUCAGCAGGGAAGAAUAAUGACGGUACCUGACUAAGAAGCCCCGGCUAACUACGUGCCAGCAGCCGCGGUAAUACGUAGGGGGCAAGCGUUAUCCGGAUUUACUGGGUGUAAAGGGAGCGUAGACGGCUGUGCAAGCCAGAUGGGAAAGCCCGGGGCUCAACCCCGGGACUGCAUUUGGAGCUGUGUGGCUGGAGUGUCGGAGAGGCAGGCGGAAUUCCUAGUGUAGCGGUGAAAUGCGUAGAUAUUAGGAGGAACGCCAGUGGCGAAGGCGGCUUACUGGACUGUAACUGACGUGGAGGCUCGAAAGCGUGGGGAGCAAACAGGAUUAGAUGCCCGUA